UAGAGAGGGUGCGAGCGUUAAUCGGAAUUACUGGGCGUAAAGGGCGCGUAGGCGGCCUGUUAAGUCCCGUGUGAAAUCCCUCGGCUCAACCGAGGAACUGCACGGGAAACUGGCGGGCUUGAGUUCGGGAGAGGGAAGCGGAAUUCCGGGUGUAGCGGUGAAAUGCGUAGAUAUCCGGAGGAACACCGGUGGCGAAGGCGGCUUCCUGGACCGACACUGACGCUGAGGCGCGAAAGCUAGGGGAGCAAACGGG
rnacentral:rRNA from 1 species